CCUACGGGUGGCAGCAGUGAGGAAUAUUGGUCAAUGGCCGAGAGGCUGAACCAGCCAAGCCGCGUGAGGGAGGAAGGUACAGAGUAUCGUAAACCUCUUUUGUCAGGGAACAAAGACUGGGACGCGUCCCCGGAUGAGUGUACCUGAAGAAAAAGCAUCGGCUAACUCCGUGCCAGCAGCCGCGGUAAUACGGAGGAUGCGAGCGUUAUCCGGAUUUAUUGGGGUGAAAGGGUGCGCAGGCGGUCUGUUAAGUCAGCGGUCAAAGCCCGGGGCUCAACCCCGGACCGCCGUUGAAACUGGCAGUCUCGAGUUGGAGAGACGUAUGCGGAAUGCGCGGUGUAGCGGUGAAAUGCAUAGAUAUCGCGCAGAACUCCGAUUGCGAAGGCAGCAUGCCGGCUCCACACUGACGCUGAGGCACGAAAGCGUGGGUAUCGAACAGGAUUAGAUACCCCGGUAGUU
rnacentral:rRNA from 1 species